CCUACGGGAGGCAGCAGUGGGGAAUAUUGCGCAAUGGGCGAAAGCCUGACGCCGCGACGCCGCGUGAGGGAUGCAGGUCUUCGGAUCGUAAACCUCUGUCAGCAGGGAAGAACGGUCACUGUGCUAAUCAGCAGUGCAUUGACGGUACCUGCAAAGGAAGCACCGGCUAACUCCGUGCCAGCAGCCGCGGUAAUACGGAGGGUGCGAGCGUUAAUCGGACUUACUGGGCGUAAAGCGCUCGUAGGCGGUAUGUCAAGUCAAGGGUGAAAUCCCCGCGCUCAACGUGGGAACUGCCUUUGAAACUGGCAAACUGGAGUGUGUGAGAGGAUAGUGGAAUUCCAGGUGUAGGAGUGAAAUCCGUAGAUAUCUGGAGGAACAUCAGUGGCGAAGGCGACUAUCUGGCACAUAACUGACGCUGAGGAGCGAAAGCGUGGGUAGCAAACAGGAUUAGAUACCCUUGUAGUC
rnacentral:rRNA from 1 species